AUGAACCGAACGAUAAGAGCCAAGAAGAACGCGGAGGAGUCGCCAUGGAUGACCCCAAGAGCAACUCCGCCGGAGUCUAGGGUCCAGAACCAAAUGAAAGGAGCAAAGAAGGCAGGAAGAGCAAGGGAGGAGCCGCCAUGGACGAGCAGUGGUACUGUACCCGCGACGCAGUUGGGCCGGCGAAGGGAAGGUGGGCGGCAAGAAACGGGCUGCUUGCUCGUCCCUCCUCCUCUCUCUCUCUCUCCACGCACUCACGCAAAAGAAGAGCUCGAGUCGAGUGGUGGUGAGUCGGAGGUCUCAGGAGGGGAGGAGGGGGACGAGGCAAAGCUCCUUUAUAUACAUACACCAUGGAAUCGCGACUCUGUAAUGUAG
rnacentral:rRNA from 1 species